GACAGAGGCCUCGAGCGUUAGGCGGAAUCACUGGGCUUAAAGGCGUGUGUAGGCGGAUCGUUAAGUGCCUUGUGAAAUCCCACGGCUUAACUGUGGAACGGCUGGGCAUACUGGCGGUCUUGAGCCAUCUAGGGGCGACUGGAACAAACGGUGGAGCGGUGAAAUGCGUAGAUAUCGUUUGGAACGCCAAAGGUGAAAACAGGUCGCUGGGGAUGAGCUGACGCUGAGACACGAAAGCCAGGGGAGCAAACGGG
rnacentral:rRNA from 1 species